GUGGAAUGCUGAAGGCAGCGUCCUACCUUCUCCUGAGCUCCACGCUUUCUUAUCUGUGCUCCCUGCUAAUCAAUUCACCAACAUGAAGCUCUUGGCGUUGCUGGUACUGGUGGCCGUUUCCACCUUCCUGGUUUCAGGCCAGACAACUGGCGCUGCAAGUGAUAGCUCUACUGCUGCUGCCACCACAGCUGCCGCCACCACAGCUGCCGCCACCACUGCAGCUGCCACCACUGCUGCUCCUGCCACCACUCCAAAGGGUAAGCCACUCAUCUC